AAAAAAAAUUACAGAAAUCAUUCAGGGUACCCUAAAAACACUGAUCAAGAACAAUCAAUAAUAAUCACUAAAAAAAAAAAAAAUACAAACACAAUAAAAGAAAACAUCGUCCAACGCUGCCAUUUUCUCCACGUCCAGACACGAAGACAUGUAUUUAAUAUUACACUUGCUCCAGAAAAGGGCUUAUGAAAUCAAAGAAAUUUUUCAUUGUAAAAAAAUAUUUUGAAAAUAAAAUUUGAAAUUCCAUUGAAUAAA
rnacentral:misc_RNA from 1 species